GGAAAUUUAGGUUAACCAAAAACCAAGGACCUUCAAAGCCCUAAAUACGAGACGCACCCUCAUAAUUUCCG
rnacentral:tRNA from 1 species